GAUGAAGAACGCAGCGAAAUGCGAUACGUAGUGUGAAUUGCAGUAUUCAGUGAAUCAUCGAAUCUUUGAACGCACAUUGCACCUCUCGGUAUUCCGGGAGGUAUGCCUGUUCGAGCGUCAUUUGUACCCUCAAGCUCUGCUUGGUGUUGGGUGUUUGUUCCGCCUCUGUGUGUGAACUCGCCUCAAAACAAUUGGCAGCCGGCGUACUUGUUUCGGAGCGCAGCACAUUUUGCGAUCCAGAUCAACGUACAGCGGCAUCCAAGAAGCCUUAUUUAACGCUCUUGACCUCGGAUCAGGUAGGGAUACCCGCUGAACUUAAGCAUAUCAAUAAGCGGAGGA
rnacentral:misc_RNA from 1 species